AGCUGCUGCUGGUUGCUGUCCGGCUGGAGCUGCUGCUGGUUGCUGUCCGGCUGGAGCUGCUGCUGUUGCUGUCGUGCGCCUACCCAGCUGCUGCUGCUUCGCCGGAAACUGCUGCCUGGUGGUUCGCCGGUCGCUGGUUGCUGCUGCUCCUCGCUGGACUGCUGUCUUCACUGGAAAAAAGAGAAUAGAGGAAGAGCAGCAACCUCGUUGUUGCUGCUGGCGGGGUGAGGAGAAAAAGGAGAAGAGACGAGGGGAGAGAGAGAGGGACGGCUGCCGCCAGCAGGUGGUGAUGAGUUUCACCGGAAAAAAAUGGAGAGGAGAGCUAAGGGAGGCGGCUGAUCUGUUGGAGAAGAGGAGGAUAGAGUGAAUAAAUUUUUAGGGCUUUGGGGAGGAAUUUUAGAGUAAAAUAGGAAGGUUAGGGGAUUUGAUCUUGACCGUUAAUUUUAGAAGGGAUAAGGGGCUAGGAUUAGAUCUAGGAUUUAAUUUAAAGAUGGACGGACAAGAUUAAAGUGAAUGGGUCUUGAAUCAGAUAGGAUUAAAAUUGGAAUGGCUAUAAUUGAAAUAAAAUUUGGCUAGAAUUGAAAUGAAAAGUGGAUAUAAUUGAAAUAAAAUUGGAAUUGAGUGGGUUAGAAUUGGAAUAAAUUGGAAUAAAAUGGGCUACAAUUUAAAUGAUUUUGAGGAAAGUUAAGGAAAUGCUAUUCAAUUAAUAAAAAAUACUACACAUAUUAAAAUAUCUUCAUAUAAUUAAAUAGAUCUAAGAUUUUAAAAUAUUUAAAUAAAGUAAUUAUUUCGAGUUUAACUAUCGAUAAUAUAAUAAUAAAAUAAUUUAAUAUUUUUUUACAAAUCAAGCUAACUAAAUAUAUAAUUUUUAGAUAAAAUUGGCUAAAAUUUUAAACUCGAAAUAUAUUUGAAAAUACGUAUUUAAUCGAAUAGCAUUUCCGAAAUUGGUUAUAGGUCGGUCAAAAUUGGGUGUUAACAGCUGCCCCUUGGUUGCUUGAUAAUGAAUGAUGAAUUGUCGGGCAACCAACGUUGACUUAGUAGCCGAUUUUGUCCGACCGACGAGAGAUGUCUGUGGGAUCAAUUCAAAUGACAUAGAGUUGAAAAAGGGUACGACCGAGACUUUGGUAUUAAGCCGCCUACAUAUCUCUGGUUAUACGAGAAUCAGGUCGUGUGUAGUUCUAGAUUCAGGAGCAAACGAAGCUCCUAAAAAUUGAAAGAGUGGUACGGUAUACGAACGAGAGUGAUUUUUUUUUUGGCUUGAAUGGAUUAGAGUAGCUAGAAGAGCAUGACGGAGCGAUUUCCAGUUCAGGAGAAAGGAUCAAAUGAAAAGCAGUGAAACGAGUAGCAAAUGAUUGAAAGGGCCUUUGUUGCGAUAGGUAUGAGCCUGAUAAUCGUAGCUGAGAGGAUGAUCGAUCUUGCCUACAAUUUCUAAUAUGACUAGAUAGAAUGUUAGCUUAUAAAAUACAAAAAAGUGUGAACCAACAUAAUAAAUAAUAAUGACAAGAGGUGAUAGGAAGACAUAUCCGUUUUGAGAAAUAUAGCGCAAACCCUGAUAAACUUUGGCUUAACUUCUUGAAGAAUUGCGAUCCAUCUCCAAAGAAUAAUGUUAACCCGAGCACCAUAUUGUAAGGCGGAAGAUCCUAAAUGUCCUAUUGUAAGGCGGACGAGCCUAAAUGUCCUAUUGUAAGGCGGACAAGCCUUAAUGUCGUAUUGUAAGGCAGACGAGCCUGGUGCAGUAUUGUAAGGCAGACGAACCUAAGUGUCGUAUUGUAAGGCAGACGGGCCUAUGUCUUAUUGUAAGGUAGACGAACCUAAUGUCGUAUUAUAAGGCAGACGAGCCUGAUGCCGUAUUUUAAGGCAGGCGAGUCUGACGUCCUAUUGUAAGGCAGGUGAACCUAAUGUCGUAUUGUAAGGCAGACGAACCUGUGAUGUUCGGUAGGUCACAAUAGCAAGUUGAUAAUAGCAUCUUCAAAAUAGUUAAGUAGUAGCUUGAUAGUAGCUCCUUAUGUCAAAUCUAUUCCUGCAUCCAGAGAAAAAUCGUGAAUUUGAAAAACAAGAUUGGAUCAUACCUAUGUUUGCUUUGAUUUCGGAAUUGCACUCCAUUGUGAUGAAAGUUUUUGAGGAUUUCAAAAAUUUCUGCCCCAGUUUAGAGUAUAAGAUAUAUACUCACCUUCUUAAAUAUUGUCUGAAAUUUUUGAGGUUCCCUCAAAAAUUCUGCCCAGUUUCAUUUGUAAGGACUUUGUGAUCCUGCUUCACUCAAAGAAAAUUAUUAGUUCAAUAAGAAAAGUGAUUGUCUUAUAUUUGGACACUACGCUCGACUUCGAAUCUGAACGUCAAUUAUGUUCAAGGUUGGAUCAAUUAGCCCUGAAUUCGAAUUUGGAGAAGAAUGUCUUGAAUGACCAUGAGAAAAAAAAUAAAUUUAUUUGAUAAAGACCGGACCCAUCAAAGGGUUGCCUAUGUAUCCAAAAGAAAAUCAGGUCAAACGUAGUUCAGGAUUCAGGAGCAAACAAAACUCCUAAAAACUGAAAGAGCGGUACGGUAUUCGAACGAGAGUGAUAUUGGCUUGAAUGGAUAGGAUUAGAGUAGCGAGAAAAGAACGACAGAGAGAUUUCUGGUUUAAAAGCGAGGGAUCCGAUGAAGUGGUAAUAUAAGUAGCCAAGGGUUAAAUGAAAGACGGUAAUAUGAGUAACAAAGAAAUUGAUAUGGCCUUUGUUGCGAUAGAUGUAAGCACGAUAAUCGUAGCCGAGAGGUAAAAUGUCUUAUCUGCAAAAAUGUUAGUCUCUGCAAAUCUGUAGCUUGUAAUAUGACUAAAUAAAGUGAUUAGAGUAGAUAUAUCAAAUAAACGAUAAAGGUAAACAUGAUGCAAUUUCCCAUAUCGACAAUGAUGUUUGCCAUAAGACUAUGAAGAUGAUGUCUUAGGCUAUGAUGUCUAGGGCCAUGAUACGCAAAAUUAUAUCCUCAGGAAAAUGUUGUCUGCGGGCCAUGAAAAAUGAUGCCUUUAGACUAUGACACCUUUGGAUCAUGAUAAGCAGAAAGUAAAUCCUUAGGCCAUGAUAUGAUGUCCGCAGGCCAUGAAAGAUGCCUUUAGACCAUGACGCCUUCAGAAUAUAAGUAAUGAGUAAAGAAAGCGUAUCUGUAAUUCGGCCAUCUGUUGACACUUGUAGCUUGUUUGGAGUUUAUUCGGAUAUAUGUAAUUCUUGAGCACAAUCCAAUCUCGGGUACAUGGAAUUCGGGCUCAUGCGAUGAUAUAAUUCUCAGGCACAUGCAAUAUCGGGCACAAUGCAAUCUCGGGCUCAAUGCAAUCUCUGGCACAAUGCAAUAUCAGGCACAUGCAAUCUCAGGCACAUGCAGAUGAUGUAAUUCUCGGGCACAUGCAAUAUCGGGCACAAUGCAAUCUCGGGCUCAAUGCAAUCUCUGGCACAAUGCAAUAUCAGGCACAUGCAAUCUCAGGCACAUGCAGAUGAUGUAAUUCUCGGGCACAUGCAAUAUCGGGCACAAUGCAAUCUCGGGCUCAAUGCAAUUCGGGCUCAAUGAAAUCUCGGGCUCAAUGCCGUCUUCGGGCACAUGCAAUCAUCGGGCAUAUGCAGUCAUCGGGCACAAUGCAAUCUUCGAGCUCAAUGCAAUCUCGGGCUCAAUGCAAUCUCGGGCUCAAUGCCGUCUUCGGGCACAUGCAUAAUAGUCAAUUGAGGACAUAAAAUAUCUUGGACCUUCGCCUUGUUAGAAGGGUCGAGUGUCGUUUGUUGACAAUUUUCGAGUUCAGAAUAUUGUAGCUUUCACCCUUCGUCCUAUUGUAAGGAGUGGGUGUAGUUGAAUGUUGAUUUGCCGGGCUUGAUAUGGAGUAGUCUGAUCCUUUUGUCUGAUUAGAAGGAUAGGGUAUCAUUGAUUGACGAUUGUCGGGCUCAAAAUAACUUGGUCCUUUAUCAUGUCGGAAGGAUAGUAUGCCAUUUGACUGGUGAUUUGGGCUCAGUACAGAGUAGUUUGGUCCUUCCCAUUGUUGGAAUGUCAAUGUGUCAUUUGUUGGUGAUUUUCGAGCUCUGAAUAAUGUAGCUUCAUCACUCUUCCUAUUGAAAGGACGGAAUGCCAUUGAUUAGCAGAUUGUCGGAUAUAUCGACACAUUGAUCCUUCAAGUGGUGUUGAAGUUGCUUCUUGUAUAUGCACCUGUCUUUUCUGCAUUCAAAGAAAAAUAAUUAGUUAAAGGGGAAGUUGAUCUGUAUCCCCGAUUCGGCAGAAUAUGCUCCUCUGAUGUCUGCUCGUAUGUCCUUUGUAAUGUUGUCGAAAAUUUUGAGGUCCUCCUCAAAAUUUUCUGCCCCAGUAUAGAAUUUUUGAUUUUGGACGUAGACUGUAGCUUGAUUGUUGUGAAAUUUUGAGAUCCUCUCAAAAUUCUGUCCCAGUCUUGAUUUGCAACAAAAUAUGUUUUUGAAGGAAUUUUUGAAACCCUUUAAAAAAUUCUUCCCCAGUUAUUAAUUUGCGCGAAGAAAUGCUUUUGCAGGAAUUUUGAGUUCCCUGCAGAAAAUUCUGCUUCAGUAUCAUCACUUGCAAGAAAAUGUCUUUCUGAUGGAAUUUUUGAGACCCUCUCAAAAAUUCUUCCCAGUUAGCAGUCAAAGGGAAAAUGGAAUUUUUAUUAUGAUAUGACCGAACUCCAUAGGAGCGCCUACGUAUCCCCUCUUAAACGGGAAUCAGGUCUGACGUAGUUCCAAAUACAGAGAGCAUAAUUCAAGACAUUAAACAGAGCAUAUAGCCACAACCAAAAGAUAGAUUCUGACCAAACUUUAUUGCCCAUAUGCUAACAUGGGUACCUUCCUUGUCAGAACUUGACGAAACAUGAAUGUAGAGAACUUAAGCUUAAAUGGCAUAAGCUUUUAUUGGAAAGUGCUUCAAAUGACCUUCAACAUGUUUUCUGUUGGGAUUUCUUUGGUGCAAAGUCCUCCAAGCAUAUGAUCUUGGUAUCAAUCAAUUGAUGAAUCUUGUCUUUCAGAUCACGACAUUCUUCUAUGGUAUGUCCUUUUAUCCCUGAGUGAUAAGCGCAAACCUUAGAGCGUUCAAUCUACCUAGCACGUGUACUCAUCCUUAUUUCACUGAUAGGAGCGAUAUGACCAGCAAGCCUAAACUUUUCAUAGAAUUGAUCUAUAGGCUCCGUCAAAGGAGUGUAAAUUUUGAUGGGCCUUUUCUCAACAUUGAAUAGAUUUUUGCAAAUAUGUUUUUGAGUGAGGAUUUUGACAUUGUGAACAGGAUAAAUGGGCUUUUGAUAUGGAGGCAUUUGAUAUGGUAUGAGCGGCGCACAAUACCAAGGGACUUGGUGUAGAGGUGUUUGAUAUUGAGGAGCUUGUAAGGGAGGACUCGGUAGACUCGGAGUAAGAUACGGAGGUCUGGAAGCAUAAGCAUGAUGUUGAGGAGGAUAUGGGUAAUUUGGAAAGUGAGUGUUCUUUGGAGGCAUUUGAAUGGAGCUUGGUUGAUUUUGAGAAGUGGGGUAAGUUGGUGGAGGAUGAGAAAUAGGGUGAGUGAGUGGAGGAUUAUCUUAGAGAGUAGCUUGACUUGUGACAGGCGACUUAUCUAUGUUUGUCUCCAGAGUGGGAUCGACAGAGAGUAACAUCUUGGCCCACCCGCGCAUAUCAGACACUUCUUCUUCUAAUUCCUUUAUUUUCUUUUUCCGGCUUGAGACCAACUUGUCUGAAGGAUGCUUCUUUUCAAUAGUCUUACUCAUAACCUUCUCAUUAGUAACUUUCCUCUUCCCUUUGCGGUUCUCAUUUGGAAGAGAAGGAAAACCGUCAUUUGAUCGUGUGUGGUAACCCAUGGUCUACAGAUCAACCAUUGGGGAAGGGUAAAAAAUAAAAAUAAAAACAAAAACAAAAGAAAACCCAAGUUAGAGUGUUGCAUUAAUUGAGAUAGAAAGCACACUGCUUUAAGAUAAACGCCCUAAAUGCAAGGAGCCUCGUUGAGCCAGAGGUAGGCCUAAGACGACAUAUAAGUGAUGCACAAUAAUUAAUUCAAGUCUUAUUUUCCAAUUUGGAAUUUAGAUUAAAGGAAAUAAACAAACUUUAUUUAUUAUAAAAUCCGAACAAAACAUAAUAAUUGGAAAACAAAAAAAAAUGAAAUAAACUAAGGGAAAGGGGUAACAAAUGGGAAAGUCAUCCUAAAUUCUGAAAAUCUUGAAGAUAUUGGUUCCAAGAGCUUGGCGCUAAUUGACUUCUUCUAUAGGGAGUGACUUCAUUCUUGAUCUUCAAUACGUUGCGUGCCCAUAUGUUUUCCCUUUCAUCAGUGAGCCCAUAGUAUCCUUCCCCAUUCACUUCUCUAUCUUUGACCUCCAUUAGGAUCCAUAUGUAGUACUCGCGUCUGCAUAAGGCCUGUGGUGCACCCAUAGGAAUGGUUAACACUCGCUCCCAUCUUCGAAGUAUGAUGUGGGCUUGUGGUUUAUCUAAUCCAAAUUCAUACUUAAACUGCUCCAUGUCAGACCGGAGUGGUAUUACCUGAGUUCGCCCAAAUUAGCGGAGUACUCGAAGAGGAGUGUAUGGUUGAACGCCAUUUAAGUCAAUAAGCUCAACGAAGCAUCGGUCAUCGCCUCUUACUAUUGCAUGAGGGGUGGACAACCAAUGGAGCUUCCAUUGGAUGUGGCGACUCUCGAGCUCUGUUAAAAAUAUUUGCCAGUCCACGAAUCCUGCGGGGGCGGUGAAAGCUAACAUUCUUCUUGGAUGAUUACCAAUCUUGUUGCCAUAACCAAGAAAGAUGUCUAUCGCGUCAGAGCGUAUGUAGAAGUGUUCAAUAGCCCAUAAUUGCUGCAAAAUGUUGCAUCCCUCGAAAAACAUUCGACCAUCGACGCAUGCUGACAGACUCCUCAUUAUUUCCGCCAAGAUCAUGGGUAUUAGGGUUUUCCUAGGUUCGCCCUCUCUUGGGGCUAAAUCUCGAACCACAUAACCCAAGCGUGUGUCAAUCUUUCCCCUUAUCUUAGGAAAAACCAGGGAUCCUAAUAAGGCAAUGACAAAGGCAUUUAGGCAAUAUGUUUCCCAUUCCUCGAUGGAGCAUUCAAACUCAUCAAUAAAAGAGUAAUAACUAUCAUCUUGGCCAAAACGUGAAUACAGAAAGUCGAAAUGAAUCCACCCAAGGUCUAGAUAAAGCAAGGUUGGAUUUGACUUCAUUCCCAGACUUUUUAGAAACUCCCUCGAUGAUGGCUUAUAGGGUACCAUUAUUUCACACUCGUGGUAUGGCAGGUCUAUGAAACCACUUAUCUCCUCAAUCGUUGGCGUCAAGUUGAAAUCCACGAAUUUGAAAACUAUCCUCACAGGGUCCCAAAAUUCUAGCAAGGCUCUAAUCAAGUGAGGGUUUGGUAUCACAAAGAUGCGGUAGGUAAGACCGCCCAACAACUGCCGAAUCUCUCUUUCACGGUCUCUCUUGAUAUCCAUCCACCAGUUCCUUAACUUGUAGUUUACAUCUAUGACCAUUUGCGGAUUUUGGGAGUUGAAAAUAUCCAUGACUCUGCAAACAAAACAACAAACUAUUUCUAAACUCCAUUUUGGCAAAUUUGGCUUAAUUUAAUUAUUAUGACCACAUUGACACAUAAUUAUGCAAUUUGUCUAAAGGGUGUUGGGGCCCUUUAGACGAUAAGGUGGCUACUAAUCAUGCGGAUUGACACCAAGGGUCAAACCACCUAGGGCUUAUGCAACAUGUAUGACCUAAGUAAGCUUUCUAAGAGUUGGCUUGACACGGACUUGAAAUGGGUUCUAUGCGAGAAGGCUCGUGGUUUCCCGGUAGUAAGACUAUCCGUUCCAUCCACGCAUAUGCCGACUCUCUAUAAUUGGGUGUUUUGAAGAGAAAUCGAGUAGUUGUGAGAGGUGCAAAGGCACAACAUCACGGUAACAAAAUAAAAAAAGGAAGAGGGUCCCAAUUGGGGGAAGUAUGAGCGGAAUGCCAGUUAUCAAAGCAGUAACAUUUAGCAUUUAGGUUAAAAGCGAUAACAUAUGGACAAUUUUAAGGAACAGUAAAUAAAUAAAUAAAUACAAAAAUAAGCAUGCAAACACAUAAAUAAAUCAAGCAAAUAAGGAAAGGAAAUAAGGUUUAAACAUGAAGUACACAAAAAUGGGGAAAAGGGAAAGGGCGAAACACGAGAAUAAUCAAAUAAGGGAGAGGGAAAGGGACUAAACAUGGAAAUAACAAUAUUUAAGGAAAGCGAGUAAACAAUGAAAGCAAAAAUUAAUUAGACAUGGGAAUAACCAAACAAACAAUGAAAUGACAGAUAAAGUAAACCCCACAUAAGCACGAAACACGUAAUGGUUAGAACCUAAUAUCCCCAGCGGAGUCACCAUUCUGUCGCACCCCGUUUUUCGCAAAAUGAACUUUCCUUUCGGAUGCACGACCUAACAACUCUUUUGGGCUUUUGANNNNNNNNNNNNNNNNNNNNNNNNNNNNNNNNNNNNNNNNNNNNNNNNNNNNNNNNNNNNNNNNNNNNNNNNNNNNNNNNNNNNNNNNNNNNNNNNNNNNNNNNNNNNNNNNNNNNNNNNNNNNNNNNNNNNNNNNNNNNNNNNNNNNNNNNNNNNNNNNNNNNNNNNNNNNNNNNNNNNNNNNNNNNNNNNNNNNNNNNNNNNNNNNNNNNNNNNNNNNNNNNNNNNNNNNNNNNNNNNNNNNNNNNNNNNNNNNNNNNNNNNNNNNNNNNNNNNNNNNNNNNNNNNNNNNNNNNNNNNNNNNNNNNNNNNNNNNNNNNNNNNNNNNNNNNNNNNNNNNNNNNNNNNNNNNNNNNNNNNNNNNNNNNNNNNNNNNNNNNNNNNNNNNNNNNNNNNNNNNNNNNNNNNNNNNNNNNNNNNNNNNNNNNNNNNNNNNNNGGAGACUCUGAAGGACUUUUAGGAUCAGCACUCGACUUUGUUUAUUUCGGUCGUUUUCUCGUAGGGACAGACAAAACAAAGGUUUGUCAUUUAGACCGAGUCGAUGUCAUCAUCUCCGUUGGGCCUAAACUACCCCUACCCCUCCACCGCAUGCUUUCGUCUCUACAAGGUGCCUAUCGUCCCCGAUUAAGGUCCAAGAGGUAUUAGACUGCUAUUAGGGUGAAUUUAGACAAAAUAAAAUAUAAUAGGCCCAACUGGACACCAAGUCAAACAAUUUGGACGAGCAUUUAGCACGUAGGGUCACAUAUUGACCUCUAGAUUUUAUUAACAUGCUUGCAAACACACAUAAUUGGUGAAAGUCUCAUGCUAGGUGUGGCAUACAGACAUUAGCAUGACAUUAAAAAGUGAUUGCUUAAUUGAGAGACAGAAAAUUAUUACAGAAUGCAUAAAUAUAUUAAGCAUGAACGGAGCAGAGAAUAGCCACGUAUAAAUUAAUUUUAUUCAAUUGUAGCAGGCUAGAGAAAGCUAACUGAUUUAUUUUAAUUGGUAAAAGAUUAAUUGCAGUGCAGAUAUUAAUUAGUUACAGAUUUGAUUUUAAGUAGAAACAUGUGAACAUAAAUAUUGAAAAGCAAUGGCAGAUUUAACCAGGACAUAGGAUUUAAAUCGAAUUUUAACAUGCUUGAUUUAUUUGACUGGUAAGAAAAUAAUUUGUGUUGCAGGAAUCAUUAACAGUGAGCAGAAAGUAUACAAAAAAAUUUAAUUCAAUUAUUUAACAUGCUGAAACUGAUUAUAACAUGCUAAUUUAAUUAAUCUGAUUGACGUAAAUUUUUGAACAAAGAAUAAAACCAGAUUUACCACCUAUAGGCGUUAUCUCUACACCGCAAAUGACAUAUUUAAAGAUAUGUAACUACUAAUGAUAUCUGAGUGAUUAAAUGUCACACAUAUUUCAUACUUCUUAUAGCAUGAUUACUAAUCAAUUUGCGUGUUGGAAAAUAUUUAACCAUAAGCCUUAAUAUAUCAAAAAUGAAUUAACAUGCCAACAUUAAUAUGCAACACAUAUAGACGUGAUUUAUUUUAGAUAACAUAUUAGAUUAUUUAUUAAAAUUCUAAUUUUUAUACUCCAGAAUAUACCCUUAGAUGACUUACCAAAUUAAUUAUUACAUCCUAAACAAGAUCUUAAAGCACACUAACAUGCUAACAGUUUAUGAAGAGAGCAAUGAGUCAGAAUUUAUGCAACACUAGAUUGUAUGCAUGAAAUCUAAUUUUUUAUUUCUAAAUAAAUAUUUGCUACGCUUUCUCGCAUAGGGAGCACUUAUUACACCCGUUGAUGUUACAUGAGACAAGUACAAGCCAAUGGUUGAUUUUAGACGAAAUUACACAGGUAGAUUUAUAGCAAUCACACAUAAUAAUAUGAAAUAAACAAGUAAAACAGUUAGCACGCAAUUCCCCGCCCCCCCCCUUAAACGAUCCCAAAAUUAUUUCAUAUAUAGAGAGUUUAGGGUCAUAUAAAAUAUUACAAAAACCAAAAAAAAAAAACGAAUAGUAAAUGACAUAACACAACCCAAAAUAAACUACUAAGCAGAAAUAGUUUCUAUCCGGUAACCCGCCCUAGACGACUCUUCAUGUCUUGAACUUUAUGUUCAACCCUGCUUAAAAAUAUACCAAAGGUGAAGACAAGAACAAUAAUUACGUAGAUAGAAACACAACAAUUAUUCAUAACAAACACAGAUUUCAGACAAGUCAUAAAACAUAUAAAAUCACAUACUGAGAAAGAAAGGAUAAAGAGACUAGUCCGGAUGCUUCCUUCUUAUUUAUUUCAAAUAAUGCAACAAUAUUAAAUAAUCCAAAACGACAAUUAAACUAAUGGAAAGCAACUAACCAAUUAGGCAGAAUAUUUUAUCAGCAAUGAAGUAUUUAGGAAGAUUUCCAAACCACAACAGCAACACAGCAAAAGCGCAAAGAAUGAUCCAAAGCUUUACUAGAAUUCUUAUUUUUUAGAGAAGAGAGUAUCUAAGGUAUAUGUCUAAAUCUGAGAGUGUGUCCACCCAUGAGUAUGAGAGUGUGUUCGUCCCAAAAGUAGUGCAAAGAGGGUCCUUUUAUAGUGAGGGGAGGGGUCAACAGUAAAGGAAAAUAAUUAUUUUAGGGGUCAAUAUAAUAUUUUCCCUUUUUCAAAGGAGCCAAUUAUAACAUGCUUUCCUUAAACAAAAGGAGUAUAAAAUCAGUCCAAUAUUUAUUUAUUAUUUUUACCAAAUAUGAACAAGUAAGAAAUCUGUCAACUUUUCACAUAAGGUAAGAAAUUGUUACCGCUAAUCAAUUAAUCAGUCAAUUUUCCUUCUCUACAAAAUCAAUUAAUCAAUCACUAAAUCAUGCAACUAAAAUAAGGUAGCGCAAUCAAUCAGCGAGAUAAGAGAAUUAUUCUUACUUUUUUGCAAAAUCAAUUCAAUGUACUUACCGUAUAUACCCGAGCAUAAUAGCAAAAGGAACAUACAUUAAUAGAUUUUCCUAUUCAAUCGAGAGGUUCAACAUUUAUAAUACCAAAGAAUUAGAUACAACAAAAUUAGGAGCAGACCAUUAUAGCAAUGCAAAAUAUAGCAAUGAAGGUGUAGAAUUUUCAUGGGCCAAAUCCGGGCAUGCUUUCAAACUAUAGUUAUAAUUUGAUCAUACAUAUAAAAAAAUUUAAGCAAAUGAAGAACAUAGAUUACAAAAAUCAGCAGCUCCACACAUAAAUUAGGAUAUUGAAAUACUAAGGAUGAAACAAUUAACGGACUAAUCAUGCACACUUUAUGUUUAAUGGCAAGCACAAAUAUUUGAGUUUUAAGAUAAGGAAAAUCGUACCUGGGACUGAUCUGUGAAGAUCAGUCCUUUAAAAAAAAUCAUUUUUAGUUCCGAAUCCGAACAUUGGCAUCGACAAGCCCUUUUUGUUGCUUCUUCGUUCUUCGCCGGAGAAAGAAGGCGAGGGAGAAGGCGGCGCUGCCUGGUCGUUCACCGGAGCUGCUACUGGUUGCUGUCCGGCUGGAGCUGCUGCUGGCGGGGAGAGGAGAGAAAGGAGAAGAGACGAGGGGAGAGAGAGAGGGAUGGCUGCCGCCAGCAGGUGGUGAUGAGUUUCACCGGAAAAAAAUGGAGAGGAGAGCUGAGGGAGGCGGCUGAUCUGUUGGAGAAGAGG
rnacentral:lncRNA from 1 species